rnacentral:tRNA from 1 species
GAGGAGAUAGCUCAGUGGCAGAGCGCCUGUCUAGCAUGCAUGAGGUCCUGGGUUCAAUCCCUAGUCCUCC